rnacentral:rRNA from 1 species
GUGCCAGCAGCCGCGGUAAUACGGAAGGUCCGGGCGUUAUCCGGAUUUAUUGGGUUUAAAGGGAGCGCAGGCCGAUGGUUAAGCGUGACGUGAAAUGUAGCCGCUCAACGGCUGCACUGCGUCGCGAACUGGCUAUCUUGAGUGAGUUCGAUGUUGGCGGAAUUCGUGGUGUAGCGGUGAAAUGUUUAGAUAUCACGAAGAACUCCGAUUGCGAAGGCAGCCAACAAGGCCUUUACUGACGCUAAAGCUCGAAGGUGCGGGUAUCGAACAGGAUUAGAUACCCUGGUAGUCCGCACGGUAAACGAUGGAUGCCCGCUGUUUGCGAUACACUGUGAGCGGCCAAGAGAAAUCGUUAAGCAUCCCACCUGGGGAGUACGCCGGCAACGGUGAAACUCAAAGGAAUUGACGGGGGCCCGCACAAGCGGAGGAACAUGUGGUUUAAUUCGAUGAUACGCGAGGAACCUUACCCGGGCUUGAACUGCAGGAGAACGAUACAGAGAUGUUGAGGUCCUUCGGGACUCCUGUGGAGGUGCUGCAUGGUUGUCGUCAGCUCGUGCCGUGAGGUGUCGGCUUAAGUGCCAUAACGAGCGCAACCCUUUUCGUUAGUUGCCAUCAGGUGAUGCUGGGCACUCUGGCGAUACUGCCACCGUAAGGUGUGAGGAAGGUGGGGAUGACGUCAAAUCAGCACGGCCCUUACGUCCGGGGCUACACACGUGUUACAAUGGGGAGUACAGAGAGUCGGGUGCACGCAAGUUCAUCCUAAUCAAUAAAGCUCUCCUCAGUUCGGAUUGGGGUCUGCAACCCGACCCCAUGAAGCUGGAUUCGCUAGUAAUCGCGCAUCAGCCAUGGCGCGGUGAAUACGUUCCCGGGCCUUGUACACACCGCCCGU